rnacentral:pre_miRNA from 1 species
UUUACGGUACCCGUAAACACAAACUUGUUCAACACAAAAUAUCCAUCUGUGUUUAGACGUAGAUGAGUUGAACAAGUUUGUGUUUACGGGUACCGUAAAU